UUACGCCCACGUCAUCAUCGAAACACCUGUUCUCGUACAAUCACAGAAGUUAAAUCGAGCCUGGUUACUACCUAGACAGGUGACCGCUUGGGAAUACCAGGUGCUGUAAG